UACGUAGGGUGCAAGCGUUAAUCGGAAUUACUGGGCGUAAAGCGUGCGCAGGCGGUUUUGUAAGUCUGUCGUGAAAGCCCCGGGCUCAACCUGGGAAUUGCGAUGGAGACUGCAAGGCUUGAAUCUGGCAGAGGGGGGUGGAAUUCCACGUGUAGCAGUGAAAUGCGUAGAGAUGUGGAGGAACACCGAUGGCGAAGGCAGCCCCCUGGGCUGAGAUUGACGCUCAGGCACGAAAGCGUGGGGAGCAAACAGG
rnacentral:rRNA from 1 species